UGAGUAACCUGCCCUUAACUCUGGGAUAAGCCUGGGAAACUGGGUCUAAUACCGGAUAUGACUCCUCAUCGCAUGGGUGGGGGGUGGAAAGCUUUUUUGUGGUUUUGGAUGGACUCGCGGCCUAUCAGCUUGUUGGUAAGGUAAUGGCUCACCAAGGCGACGACGGGUAGCCGGCCUGAGAGGGUGACCGGCCACACUGGGACUGAGACACGGCCCAGACCUCCUACGGGAGCAG
rnacentral:rRNA from 1 species